GGCAGCAUGGGGCUUCUGCAACGCAUGGGUCUCCUGUUGUGGAUUCAUGGGUGGCCGGCAGGGGCUGUUGUUGGGCGUGGUGCUCAAGACUAAUGGAUGCUGUCAGGCGUGGUACUC